rnacentral:rRNA from 1 species
CCUACGGGCGGCAGCAGUGAGGAAUAUUGGUCAAUGGGCGCGAGCCUGAACCAGCACAGUAGAGUGAAGGAUGACUGCCCUACGGGUUGUACACUUCUUUUAUAAAGGAAUAAAGUGAGGCACGUGUGCCUUUUUGUAUGUACUUUAUGAAUAAGGAUCGGCUAACUCCGUGCCAGCAGCCGCGGUAAUACGGAGGAUCCGAACGUUAUCCGGAGUUAUUGGGUUUAAAGGGAGCGUAGAUGGGUUGUUAAGUCAGUUGUGAAAGUUUGCGGCUCAACCGUAAAAGUGCAAUUGAUACUGGCAGUCUUGAGUACAUUUGAGGUAGGCGGAAUUCGUGGUGUAGCGGUGAAAUGCUUAGAUAUCACGAAGAACUCCGAUUGCGAAGGCAGCUUACUAAACUGCCACUGACAUUGAUGCUCGAAAGUGUGGGUAUCAAACAGGAUUAGAUACCCGGGUAGUC